rnacentral:rRNA from 1 species
UACGUAGGGACCAAGCGUUGUCCGGAAUCAUUGGGCGUAAAGAGCUCGUAGGCGGCUAAGUAAGUCGGACCUUAAAUCCCCAGGCUCAACCUGGGACACGGCCCGAUACUGCUUUGGCUAGAGUCCGGUAGGGGAGCAUGGAAUUCCUGGUGUAGCGGUGAAAUGCGCAGAUAUCAGGAGGAACACCCGUAGCGAAGGCGGCACUCUGGGCCGAUACUGACACUGAGGAGCGAAAGCGUGGGGAGCGAACAGG